AGUGAACGCUGGCGGUAGGCCUAACACAUGCAAGUCGAACGGCAGCACAGGAGAGCUUGCUCUCUGGGUGGCGAGUGGCGGACGGGUGAGGAAUACAUCGGAAUCUACUUUUUCGUGGGGGAUAACGUAGGGAAACUUACGCUAAUACCGCAUACGACCUACGGGUGAAAGCAGGGGACCUUCGGGCCUUGCGCGAUUGAAUGAGCCGAUGUCGGAUUAGCUAGUUGGCGGGGUAAGGGCCCACCAAGGCGACGAUCCGUAGCUGGUCGGAGGGGAUGAACAGCCAAACUGGAACUGAGACACGGUCCAGACUCCUACGGGAGGCAGCAGUGGGGAAUAUUGGACAAUGGGCGCAAGCCUGAUCCAGCCAUACCGCGUGGGUGAAGAAGGCCUUCGGGUUGUAAAGCCCUUUUGUUGGGAAAGAAAUCCAGCUGGCUAAUACCCGGUUGGGAUGACGGUACCCAAAGAAUAAGCACCGGCUAACUUCGUGCCAGCAGCCGGGGUAA
rnacentral:rRNA from 1 species